GAGGAUGAAAGCGGGGGACCUUCGGGCCUCGCGCUAUAGGGUUGGCCGAUGGCUGAUUAGCUAGUUGGUGGGGUAAAGGCCUACCAAGGCGACGAUCAGUAGCUGGUCUGAGAGGACGACCAGCCACACUGGGACUGAGACACGGCCCAGACUCCUACGGGAGGCAGCAGUGGGGAAUUUUGGACAAUGGGCGAAAGCCUGAUCCAGCAAUGCCGCGUGUGUGAAGAAGGCCUUCGGGUUGUAAAGCACUUUUGUCCGGAAAGAAAUCCUUGGUUCUAAUAUAGCCGGGGGAUGACGGUACCGGAAGAAUAAGCACCGGCUAACUACGUGCCAGCAGCCGCGGUAAUACGUAGGGUGCAAGCGUUAAUCGGAAUUACUGGGCGUAAAGCGUGCGCAGGCGGUUUGCUAAGACCGAUGUGAAAUCCCCGGGCUCAACCUGGGAACUGCAUUGGUGACUGGCAGGCUAGAGUAUGGCAGAGGGGGGUAGAAUUCCACGUGUAGCAGUGAAAUGCGUAGAGAUGUGGAGGAAUACCGAUGGCGAANGCAGCCCCCUGGGCCAAUACUGACGCUCAUGCAC
rnacentral:rRNA from 1 species